rnacentral:rRNA from 1 species
UACGGGGGGGGCAAGCGUUGUUCGGAAUUACUGGGCGUAAAGGGCUUGUAGGUGGCCAACUAAGUCCGACGUGAAAUCCCUAGGCUUAACCUAGGAACUGCGUCGGAUACUGGAUGGCUUGAAUCCGGGAGAGGGAUGCGGAAUUCCAGGUGUAGCGGUGAAAUGCGUAGAUAUCUGGAGGAACACCGGUGGCGAAGGCGGCAUCCUGGACCGGUAUUGACACUGAAAAGCGAAAGACCAGGGGAGCAAACGGG